UACGUAGGGGGCACGCGUUGUCCGGAAUCAUUGGGCGUAAAGAGCGCGUAGGCGGCCCUGUAAGUCCGCUGUGAAAGUCAAGGGCUCAACCCUUGGAUGCCGGUGGAUACUGCAGGGCUAGAGUCCGGAAGAGGCGAGUGGAAUUCCUGGUGUGGCGGUGAAAUGCGCAGAUAUCAGGAGGAACACCGAUGGCGAAGGCAGCUCGCUGGGACGGUACUGACGCUGAGGCGCGAAAGCGUGGGGAGCAAACAGG
rnacentral:rRNA from 1 species